rnacentral:rRNA from 1 species
UACGGAGGGAGCUAGCGUUGUUCGGAAUUACUGGGCGUAAAGCGUACGUAGGCGGUUACUCAAGUCAGAGGUGAAAGCCCGGGGCUCAACCCCGGAACUGCCUUUGAAACUAGGUAGCUAGAAUCUUGGAGAGGCGAGUGGAAUUCCGAGUGUAGAGGUGAAAUUCGUAGAUAUUCGGAAGAAACACCAGUGGCGAAGGCGGCAUCCUGGACCGAGAUCGACGCGUGAGGCGGCG